rnacentral:lncRNA from 1 species
GUUUUUAAUGGGAAAUUUCUUGUAGGAAUAUUAAAGUUAUUAUAGUGUAGGAAAGAUCCUGUGUUAAGUAAAUGCAUGAAUAAUUUGCCUUCCAGCAUUGCUCUCUAGAGGGAUGUGUUUCUCUCUCUGCAUCCUUUCCUAGGUGUAAAUAUUAAGAAAGCUCUCCAAGCAAAACUAAAGGCACAGAGUUAGCCUUAUGCCAAAAAUUAUUUCCAUGGGAUCACAGCCCCACUUAGGAGGGCACUUGGCCAUUUUUGCACAUCCAGCAGGAGGGUUGGUCCACAAAGUUCAGUCUGCUCAUUGCCUAAGACGAUGUCACAUUACUGCAAAAAACACAUCCCAAACCAGGUCAAAUUAAGAUCGCACAAGAAGUCUCCUAAGGAAAGGAGCAUUUGGCAAUAAAAAAACUCCAUCUUUUUCCUUGGUGUCUUGGUCAUAGCACUCAUUCAAAAAGGAUUUUAGAUGGAGAAGAUGGAUCUAAGAUGAAAGCUGAGCAAGGCUGGCUGCAAACAAACAUGUAGGAGGUUGUUUGAAGAGAUGUCCUUCUCCUCAGUGUGGUUCCCACACUGACCAGUGCUACCUUCAUGUGAUCUUGGUGCUCUCCACUGCAUUCUGUUGAGGACAAAGCAGAGACAGGAGGCUGCAAAUGUCACAGCAGCCUACAGUGACCCAGCCUCCAAUGCUCUCUGGCAGUUCUUCAGAGAUGUUUUCCUGAGAUGUUUUCCUGGGAGUGCAGGGAGGUCUCAGCAGGGCUGGAGGGAAGCAGGUGGCCCUGCCAAGUGUUUGUCACCUGAUGUCUUUGACACGCAGCAGUUCUGGGAAAGAUGUCAAGUGAAAACAGAAAACAAAUCUGUAUUCAGAAUUCAGACCAAGCUGGUGCAAAGCAGAUGAAGAUGACUGGCCCAGCUCAGAGCAGGGAAGUGGUGGAGCCACCAUUCCUUGGAGCCAUGCAGACCUUCCCAGAAAGGAGUGAAGGACUGUUCUCAUCAUCCAGCAAGGAAGGGCACCUCUCCACCUGCAGCACCAUGUCCCUGUGGGUGUCUCACACUGGCAGCAGGCUGAGAACAGCACUGUCACACUGCUGUUACAUGGCACUGAAGAAUGUCUCUGACUUGUAAACGUUCUUUAAUGUAACACCAAAUAAGACAAUAAAAUCUUACAGGGAAUGUGGUGCA